rnacentral:rRNA from 1 species
AUUGAACGCUGGCGGCAUGCUUUACACAUGCCAGUCGAACGGUAACAGGCCUUCGGGUGCUGACGAGUGGCGAACGGGUGAGUAAUGCAUCGGAACGUACCCAGAGGUGGGGGAUAACGCAGCGAAAGCUGUGCUAAUACCGCAUGUGAUCUGAGGAUGAAAGCGGGGGACCGAGCAGCAAUGUUUGGCCUCGCGCCUUUGGAGCGGCCGAUGUCGGAUUAGCUAGUUGGUGGGGUAAAGGCCUACCAAGGCGACGAUCCGUAGCUGGUCUGAGAGGACGACCAGCCACACUGGGACUGAGACGCGGCCCAGACUCCUACGGGAGGCAGCAGUGGGGAAUUUUGGACAAUGGGCGCAAGCCUGAUCCAGCAAUGCCGCGUGCGGGAAGAAGGCCUUCGGGUUGUAAACCGCCUUUGGCAGGAACGAAACGGUGUCCGCUAAUACCGGGCGCUAAUGACGGUACCUGCAGAAUAAGCACCGGCUAACUACGCG